rnacentral:rRNA from 1 species
AUUGAACGCUGGCGGCGUGCCUAACACAUGCAAGUCGAGCGGUAACAGGUGUAGCGAUACAUGCUGACGAGCGGCGGACGGGUGAGUAACGCUUGGGAAUCUGCCUGUUAGUGGGGGACAACCCGGGGAAACUCGGGCUAAUACCGCAUACGCACUACGGUGGAAAGCCGGGGACCGCAAGGCCUGGCGCUAACAGAUGAGCCCAAGUCGGAUUAGCUAGUUGGUAGGGUAACGGCCACCAAGGCGACGAUCCGUAACUGGUCUGAGAGGACGACCAGUCACACCGGAACUGAGACACGGUCCGGACUCCUACGGGAGGCAGCAGUGGGGAAUAUUGGACAAUGGGCGAAAGCCUGAUCCAGCGACGCCGCGUGGGUGAAGAAGCCUGC